rnacentral:tRNA from 1 species
CCUGGCAGAUUUAAUGCGUUAGAGUUAGGAUCUAGUUAUGGAUGAGUAUAUCCGGUUGU